CAUGAAAUGAAGAAGACCUACUUGGAGC
rnacentral:piRNA from 1 species